rnacentral:rRNA from 1 species
AUCAAUAAGCGGAGGAAAAGAAACCAACAGGGAUUGCCUUAGUAACGGCGAGUGAAGCGGCAACAGCUCAAAUUUGAAAUCUGGCCCUCGGGUCCGAAUUGUAAUUUGUAGAGGAUGAUUUUGGUGCGGUAUCUUCCGAGUUCCUUGGAACAGGACGCCUUAGAGGGUGAGAGCCCCGUACGGUUGAAUGCCUAGCCUCUGUAAAUCUCCUUCGACGAGUCGAGUAGUUUGGGAAUGCUGCUCUAAAUGGGAGGUAAAUUUCUUCUAAAGCUAAAUAUUGGCCAGAGACCGAUAGCGCACAAGUAGAGUGAUCGAAAGAUGAAAAGCACUUUGAAAAGAGGGUUAAAUAGCACGUGAAAUUGUUGAAAGGGAAGGAUUUGUGACCAGACUUUUUCUGGGCGGAUCAUCCGGGGUUCUCUCCGGUGCACUUUGCCCAGUAAAGGCCAGCAUCGAUUUUCGGCGGCGGAUAAAAGCAGUGGGAAUGUGGCUCCCCACGGGGAGUGUUAUAGCCCAUUGUAUAAUACGCUGCUGGGGAUCGAGGUACGCGCUUCUGCAAGGAUGCUGGCGUAAUGGUUAUCAAUCACCCGUCUUGAAACACGGACCAAGGAGUCGAACAUUUAUGCGAGUGUUUGGGUGUUAAACCCUCACGCGUAAUGAAAGUGAACGGAGGUGAGAGCCCGUACGGGUGCAUCAUCGACCGAUCCUGAAGUUUUCGGAUGGAUUUGAGUAAGAGCAUAACUGUUCGGACCCGAAAGAUGGUGAACUAUGCGUGGAUAGGGUGAAGCCAGAGGAAACUCUGGUGGAGGCUCGCAGCGGUUCUGACGUGCAAAUCGAUCGUCAAAUCUGCGCAUGGGGGCGAAAGACUAAUCGAACCAUCUAGUAGCUGGU